UGCGAAGGGGGCUAGCGUUGUUCGGAAUUACUGGGCGUAAAGCGUGCGUAGGCGGUUUUGUAAGUCAGAUGUGAAAGCCCCGGGCUUAACCUGGGAACUGCGUUUGAAACUACAAGGCUAGAGUGUGGCAGAGGGGGGUGGAAUUCCACGUGUAGCAGUGAAAUGCGUAGAGAUGUGGAGGAACACCGAUGGCGAAGGCAGCCCCCUGGGUUAACACUGACGCUCAGGCACGAAAGCGUGGGGAGCAAACAGG
rnacentral:rRNA from 1 species